rnacentral:sRNA from 1 species
GCCUCCUGGGUUCAAGCAAUUCUCCCACCUCAGCCUCCCAAGUACCUGGACAACAGGCACGCGCCACCAUGCCUGGCUAAUUUUUGUAUUUUUUUAGUAAAGACAGGGUUUCUCCAUGUUGGCCAGGCUGGUCUCGAAAUCCUGACCUUAGGUGAUCCACCCGCCUCAGCCUCCCAAAGUGCUGGGAUUCUGUAAUCCCACUGUAAUCCCAGUGGCUGAGCCACUGCGCCCAGCCUGCUUUUGACUUUUACGACAUCGACCCUUCUAUGAUACAUCACUGAAACUAAAACAAAUGGUGGAAGAAUUGGUAUCUCAUAGAAACAUUUUUAGAGAAAUGAAAAAGCAGAAAAGUCAAGACAAAUUAUAGUGUAUUUCUGUAAAGUUACACAGAAUGUGCUAGCCUCUCCUGCCUCCCCCUCCACCUCUUCUGCCUCUGCCACUCCUGAGACAGCAAGACCAACCCUACCCUUCUGCCUACUCAACAGUGAAGAUAAUGGGGAUGAAGGCCUGUAUGGUGAUCCAGUUAAUGAAUAGUAAAUAUACUUUCUCUUCCUUAGGAUUUUCUUAAUAUUUUUUUCUAACUUUACUUUUAGAAUGUUGUUUACAAUACAUAAAACAAAAAUGCUUCCAGUCAACAGCAGGCUAUUACAUUUUAGGGCUAAAUUUAUUAUAGUUCUCAGUUACAUAAGUGGGAGCUGAAUAAUCAGAACACAUGGACACAUAGUGGGGAACAACAUACACUGGAGCCUGUUUGGUGGGGGAGUUGGUCAAUGGGGAGCAUCAGGAAGAGUACCUAAUGGAUGCUGGGGUUAAUACGUAGGUGAUGGGUUGAUCUGUGCAGCAAACCACCAUGACACACAUUUACCUAUAUAACAAACCUGCGCAUGUACCCCAGAACUUAAAAGUUGAAGGAAAAAAAAAGUUUCAUUAUGGCAGAGUUUUGACUACAUGGGUGGUCGGUGCCCCUAACCCCUCCAUUGUUCAAGGGUCAAGUGCAUAUUAAUAUAAUCAGAAAAAUAACAGAACAAGAAUUUUUUAAAUUAUUGCAUAUUGAAAGUGUACUUAUAGGCAAUUAGUAUGCUAAAUAUAUAUUACAAGUUACGAGCAAAAUAGUGGUUACAUUGAUUAAUUUAUGAAUAGUGGACCAGCCUUGCAUUGAUGUAAUAAACUCCCACUUGGAUGUGAUAUAUAAUACUGCUGCAUUCACUUUGCUAGCUAACAAUAGAAACUAAGAUUAGAAGGAAAGCAUAUGUUUAGCUUAGCAUGGUGGUUCCAAAUCUGGCUAAUCAAAAUCAACUGGAGGACUUGAAAACACAAAUUUCCAAACCCUAACUCUGCAGUGAGUUUGGUGUGCUGCCUAGGAACCUGCAUUUUAAAUAUGCUUUCUAAUAAUAUUUAUGGAGCCAAGUAAGCCCAGCCAUCUAUUUAUAAAGUGGAAUAGUACAUUGAGAUUGUUGGUUUAGUGUUUAAAACAAAAGCAAAAUAUCUUUGAGAAGUCUAUCAGGUUUUUCUUACACACGUGAUAGACAUGUAAUUUAGUGCUUCCUAUUAUUCCAGGAUACAGAAAUGAACAAUAGUGUCUACCACCUGGAUGUACACUGUUUAAUAGGUGAAAUAGAUAUGUAAAAGCAAUUAAAAUAUGAUAAAUGCUAUGAGAGAUGUAAAAAGUGUUAUAGGUGAUCUGAGAAUGGACUGAUUGAUUACCUGGCAGUUUUAAGGAAGCCUUUAAAAAUAAUAUAUUUGAACUGGGUUUUAAAGAAUGAUAUAAAUGUUGCUAAUACACCAAAAAAAUGUCAUCUGCAAAUAUGGUUUGUUCACAAAAUGGAGAGAAGGGGAGGAUGAUAGGACAUGAGGCUAGGAAAUGUAGGUUGCAGCUCAAUGAUGUGUAUGUAGGGCCUUAUUUUCCAUUCUGAAACAUAGUGGAUUUAUAUCAAAGGAUUUCAAAUAGAAGAACAUCAUGAUCAGAAUAAUUUUAGGAUUUAUAAACUCUACUUUGGGGGGUGGAGAGUUCUUUUUACCUAGGCUUAGGGAAUAGAAAGUGGUGUAGAGAAUAUAACUUCAAUUACUUCUUUCAUCAUUUUUCUUCCUUUAGUCCACAAGCCCUAGCCAUGCCGUGGUAGCCAAUGUUCAGCUUGUCUUGCAUCUAAUGAAGCAACACAGUAAAGCUUUGUGCAAUGAUCGAGUCAUCAACAGUAUUCCUUUGGCAAAGCAAGUGUCUUCACGAGGUGGUAAAAGUAAGAAGUUGUCAGUAACACCUCCCUCCUCCAACGGUAUUAAUGAGGAGUUGUCAGAAGUCUUACAGACUUUACAGGAUGAAUUUGGGCAAAUGAGCUUUGAUCACCAGCAGCUUGCAAAACUUAUCCAGGAGUCGCCAACCGUUGAACUGAAAGACAAGUUGGAGUGUGAAUUGGAGGCAUUAGUGGGAAGGAUGGAAGCAAAAGCCAACCAAAUAACUAAAGUUCGAAAAUACCAAGCCCAGCUGGAGAAACAGAAGUUAGAGAAGCAGAAGAAGGAAUUAAAAGCUACCAAAAAGACUCUUGAUGAAGAAGGAAACAGCAGCAGCCGUUCUGGAAUCACAGGGACCACAAAUAAGAAAGAUUUUAUGAAACUGAGACCUGGAG